GACGAACGCUGGCGGCGUGCUUAACACAUGCAAGUCGAACGAUGAAACCUAGCUUGCUAGGUCGAUUAGUGGCGAACGGGUGAGUAACACGUGACUAACCUGCCCCUUUCUCUGGGAUAACGCUCCGAAAGGAGUGCUAAUACCGGAUACUCACAUCGAGGCACAUGCCUUGAUGGGGGAAGUUUUUCGGAAAGGGAUGGAGUCGCGGCCUAUCAGCUUGUUGGUGAGGUAACGGCUCACCAAGGCGACGACGGGUAGCCGGCCUGAGAGGGCGACCGGCCACACUGGGACUGAGACACGGCCCAGACUCCUACGGGAGGCAGCAGUGGGGAAUAUUGCACAAUGGGCGCAAGCCUGAUGCAGCGACGCCGCGUGAGGGAUGAAGGUCUUCGGAUUGUAAACCUCUUUCAGUAGGGACGAAGCGAAAGUGACGGUACCUAAAGAAGAAGCACCGGCUAACUACGUGCCAGCCGCCGCGGUAA
rnacentral:rRNA from 1 species